UACGAAGGGGCUAGCGUUGCUCGGAAUCACUGGGCGUAAAGGGUGCGUAGGCGGGUCUUUAAGUCAGGGGUGAAAUCCUGGAGCUCAACUCCAGAACUGCCUUUGAUACUGAGGAUCUUGAGUUCGGGAGAGGUGAGUGGAACUGCGAGUGUAGAGGUGAAAUUCGUAGAUAUUCGCAAGAACACCAGUGGCGAAGGCGGCUCACUGGCCCGAUACUGACGCUGAGGCACGAAAG
rnacentral:rRNA from 1 species